ensembl:lncRNA
CAUUCAUCAGCUGGGAAAAAUCAUUCUAAGAGUUAUUCUAAUGAUAUCGUUCCUCUGUGUUGUUAUCAUUAUAACCUAGUUGUAGUGUGGACUUCUCAUAGUAUUAGAGCGAUUUGUAAAACUUCAUCAUUAUAGUUAAUGCCCUUGGCUUGAACAAGCCUAAAGUCUGUAGUUUUGUUCAUAGAUUUUGAGGAUAAUCGACUUUUAACCUGUUCGUGUUGCUUCUGUUGAGAAGUUGCAACAACAACAUAUAUGGGCCAGCGUGGAGCUCUAGAUGAGCGGCGAUGCUGUGAAAGCGUGCCAGACAUCAGCCCGACAUAUGCAGCAGCACCUGGACACGCACGCACGCUGCGAGCUCAACCACAGGAUUAAUUCACUUCAGAAAUCUGUGACUGAACCACUGAAACACACAGGGUUCAUGAGCAGGCUAUCCACACCAGCAGAUAUUUAUGAAAACAUUUUUUUUAAAUCAGGCAAAUAUCCGUCAGCUUUCAUCCUGAAGGUCCUCUUCCAUAUUUUUCCUUCUGUGAUUUGUGAGACAGAAGAGAGCGAAAUGCUGCAACGCUCCCAGCAUCUUCAACUUGAUUUUCCCUCUCAAGAGUGUCAACAAGCUCCCAGCUGCUUCAGGAAGGGAAUGUUUUAGCAGCUCAGCGGAUGCAGAAAAUCAAGAACACUAACUGGAAAUUGUCUCUAAGAUGCUGGGGUUAGUGAUGGAUGACUGCGUGAAAAGAAACACAGCGGCCUAUAAAGACGCUCACGUCUGCACUCUAUAUUAUGCUGCCGUCUUAACACUCAAAAAAUAUAUUUAUUUAUGCAUGCCUAAAUUUCAGAUUUAUGUAUUUGAUUUGCAUAUAACAUUUUUGUGCACUUGGAUUAAACAGUUUUAACAUGAACAAACCAG